AUGAUGAUUCUCGAUGACAGCAUCUACAACAGUCAGAUCUGCGAUAAUGCAGUUGUUGCAGGGUACGAAGAACCUGAUUGUAACCAUGGCAAGGUGAGCUAUGGGAAAAUGAGGAGUCAUCACAACACUCAUCAAAGAGAGGGUCUAAAGUGUUGGUGCCAAUUAAUAAUGGAACACCACUAUUUGACCGAAGAUCAGGAACAAUUAAAGCCAAGGUUGAAAUUUCUGGCUCAGUCUCAAGAAGGGCUUUCGGGAACUUGAGGUCAACCUCCACAUAUCCCAGGAUUCUCUGGACUGCAUGCGCUGAGUUUUGCAACCUGAACCUGAAGUUCAGCGAUCUGCUUCUGGAUGUCUUUGGUCAUAGCCAAAAAAGCUUGUUCUGCUUUCUGUGGCGCUCCAAUAUCCUCGGUUAAGAGAAGAAGCUCUGCAAACGACGGUGGCUUUGUCUUGAGCUGCUCAAGCUGGAGACUGGUGAUGAGGAGACUGUCCCAACACCCACGGCAGAAUUGCUUUAGAAGUUGCUUGUCAGCAUCAUGAGCAGAAAUUCCUCCUUUCGUGACCACAUAGCUUAAGGCUGUAUGAAGUUGCUGCAGGUAAUCUGAUGCUUUCUCCCCAGCAUUUUGAUUAUUGUUCAAGAAUCGUGCAAAAAGUUCAUCCC